GACAGAGGGUGCAAACGUUGUUCGGAAUUACUGGGCGUAAAGCGCGUGUAGGCGGCUAUGCAAGUCGGAUGUGAAAGCCCUCGGCUCAACCGGGGAAGUGCACCCGAAACUGCAAAGCUAGAGUCUCGGAGAGGAUCGUGGAAUUCUCGGUGUAGAGGUGAAAUUCGUAGAUAUCGAGAGGAACACCGGUGGCGAAGGCGGGCUCGCUGG
rnacentral:rRNA from 1 species